rnacentral:lncRNA from 1 species
CCGAAAUAUUAACAUUCCCCUUACCAGACAGAUUUAAGUAUCCUAGGAUCAAAGAAUAUGAUGGGACCACCGAUCCAAUCAAUCAUCUGAACAUAUACACGGACGUCAUGAAUCUACAGGUUGCACCAGAUCAGGUGAUGUGUAAGGCCUUCCCGCAAACUUUGACGAAUGCUGCUAGGGAUUGGUUCUCAACCUUAGAGUCCAACUCCAUAGCCUCAUUCUCGGAUUUGGCGGACAAGUUCUCCGCUUUCUUCGCAAGCAGCAAACGCAUCAGGAAGACAGCAGCUUCCCUCAUGCAACUUAGACAAGGGCAAAAUGAGACCCUACGUGACUUCAUGACCAGGUUCAACAAGG